CUUGUCUGCAAAUAAGGUUACAUCUGAAGUACUGGGAGUUAGGGCUUCAACACAUGAAUUGUGGGAAAGGGACACGAUUCGGCCCAUAAUGGGGUGGGACGGGGAUCCUUCAUCCUCCCUCGUCUUGAUUUAAUCUUCAUCUAUUACACAGAGAUUGGGGUACUUUAACAGGUAAUCUUGUGUGUCCUUUACAGUGCUAAACUUUUCUGGAUUGAAAACCAGGCAACAUGAAAUAAAAACUUGAGCAAUUAGAUGCUUGUGUUUUCCCAACAGAAAACAGAUCAGGGGUUUUAAACCCGAAUGAUCCACAUCCAGCUAUAGAGACCUUCUCUUUACUGGCCCAGGAAUGGACACCUUCACUCCAAAACCUGUGCGUUCUCAUGGCCAUCAUCACAUAGGUGGUCCUUAGUGAUUUUUCACUUCUUCAAGCACACGUGUGGACAGAACAUAGAAUACUCAGUCAUGGUUAUGACAAAAGAAUGACUAAGUUGCACUGUGCGAAGCCCCUGACCCUUCUUCCCAUAUGUCACUUCCUCUACCUGGGACAUUGCCCUUUGUCUCCCCAUUCUUAGUCCACCUUCGAAUCUCAGCCUCCAGUGGGAAUCUCGCAGACCCCUUUUCAGGCUUGGACGGGGUCCUCUGACCCCAGGUCCCUCCUUGAUAGAGUUAUGAUUGAUCUCAGCUAAAUCUCAAUGAGCUGUACUUGCACCUCGUGACCAUCUCUUCUUAGUUGAUUUGAGUCACAAUAAGCGUAAUGACACUUGGUCUUAGCCAAAGGGCUGAGAAGCGAUAGGCAUAAUGACAAACAACUAACAAGCCAGAUUCUCUGUCAACAUAGAACAGAUCUCUAUAAGCCACCAACCCAUUGAGGGAGAUGACCGGUUGGUCGGGUAAAAUUUCCGAUCAUUGCUGCCACCAUGGGGAAUAACUUAUCUGCUGUGAACUUCUCUGGCAACACAUGUAACCUGCCUCUGUCAGAGUUGUGAAACAGCCCAAAGAACAGUGGAAAGUAGAGAUAACCUGGAAGUGUUCACCGGACAGGACAGUGAGUAAUCCUAUUUUCCAUACCAAAGUCUUUCAUACUUUUUCUGAUACUCCAGUGUGCCCCAACAGCAUCUCAGUUAGCAAGAGUACUUCUGAUCACUACUCAUGCAGCACUGCAUUAUGUUGGACCUCAGGGAGGGUUUGCCCUCAACCUCCAAUUUUCACAUGGGUUUUUUUUUUUAGUGAAAUAGUGCUCAUUGUUUUUUUGAAUACCCAUCUCUUUAGUUCAUUUACUACAGGGCAAUCUACUGAGAAUCCACCAAACUAGUCAAAGCCACCUCUCCCUGCAACACUGGACCAUCAUCCUUGCUCCAAGUUAUCACAUUCCCGAUCUCCAUUCUCUUGAAGUGGAAAUAUACAAAAUCGCCUCUCCAGAUCUGCCCAGUUAUGCUUAAAUUGAGAAACCAACAUGAUUUAGGCUACCAAGUUGGAGCUCUCUAUUGCCAAAACAAAACAAAACAAAAAACCUAAAAUUCAAUAGUCACAAAAGAAGAAGACAGAAAAAAUAUUUUUAGUAGAGAUUAUAGGACUCAGUGUCCCUGUGUAAGGAAAAAAUAGUGUGAAGACUAGACAAUGUGAUUCUUAACAUUCCUUGUUAAUCAUUUGUUUAUUUCUUUGCGUAAAGAAGAGCAGCUGCCAUUUAUCUCAUCCAUGUGCCAGGCGCUCUGCUAGGAAUUCCUAUAUGCAUUAUACUUAACCUUUAUUUAAUGCCAGAAGAGAAAUAUUGUUAUCCACAUCUUGCAAAACAAAACAACAAAACAAAACAAAAUCCAUGGUGUAAAGAAGCUGAAAGUUUUGCUCAGAAUCAUAAUUAAAAAGGGGUGGGUCUUGACUUAGUGUAAUUCCAAAGCACAUCCUCUUUCUUCACGCCCUUCAAUAAAUGCUUGCAGAAUGAAUCCUCCUGCUUCGCAUCUGGCAGAGUGAGAGGCAACUGCCUUUCUGACUGGAAUCUAGGAGCUGCUGUACAUGAUUAUUGGUUCAAGGAAUCUGCACCUCAAGCAGAAGCAGAUCCCCUAGCCGAUUACUCACAGUGGAGAGGAUCUGGCAUGUAGUCAGGCAGGGACCACAGAGAACACACCAAGCCCAUUGAGGUGUCCAUCCAAGCCCAAACAUAGGGCCUUGAGAGAUUUUACCCCCUGCCCCCAGUUUGAUGGAGCUGCCUGCAGAGUAGAAGGCCAGCUGGGGAACCAGAAGGAGCCCAAUUAUCAUAGGUAAUCUUUAUCUUGCUAGAGUUGAUGUUUCAGAGAGGAAAUACUCCAAUGAGCCUUGGCAAAUUUGAUGGGCCUCCUGUUCAGUCUAUAGCUCUGCCCAUAAGUUCAAGCUCCAAAGUACUGGUUACUUUAAGGGAGGAGGGGGGAACAUUUGGAAGCAUAGAGUAUUCAGGGCCAGAAGGAAUCUAAUGUUGAUAUUGGAAAAAUUGGUGUGUGUGUAGAAGGUAAUCUGAUGUUAAAACACAGCAACAAAAAUGUCUCAACAAAACUGAGAGUUGGUUUUUUAAAAAGAUAAAAACAAUUGGCAAAUGCUUAACUAGACUAAGGAAAAAACAGAGAAUACUCAAAUAAAUAAAUUCAGAAACGAAACAGGAGGCAUUAUAACUGAUGUCCCAGAAAUAACAAGGAUCACAAAAGACUACCAUGAAUGAAUCUAGGCAAUAAAAUAUACAACCUAUAAGAAAUGGAUAAAUCCCUAGAAACAUACAACCUACUAAGACUAAAUCAUGAAUAAAUAGAAUACCUGAACAGACCUAUAACUAGUAUGGAGAUUGAAUCAAUAAUCAAACCUCUCCCCUCGACAAAGAAAAGCCCAACACCAGGUGGCUUCACUGGUGAAUUCUACCAAACAUGUGAAGAAUAAUGAAUUCCAAUACUUCUCAAGUCAUUCCAAAAAACUGAAGAUGAAGGAACACUUCCAAACUCAUUUUGUGAGGUCAGCAUUACCCAGAUACCAAAGUCAGACAAAGACAUCACAAGAGAAUAAAAUGAUGAGCUGAUAUCUUUGAUGAAUAUAGAUUCAAAAAUCUUUGACAAAAUACUAGCUAACUGAAUUGUACAGCACACUAAAAGCAUCAUGCCCCAUGACCAAGUAGGAUUUAUUCCUGGAGUGCAAGGAUGGUUCGACAAAUGCAAUUUAAUUAGUGUGAUACACAACUUUAAUGGAAUAAAAGAUAAAAAUCAAAUUAUCAUCUCAGUCGAUGCAGAAAAAGCAAUUAACUAGAUUCAACACACUUUCAUGAUAAAAACAUUCAAUAAACUAGGAAUACAAGAAAAGUAUCUCAACAUAAUAAAGGCCAUAUAUGAAAAAUUCAAAGCUGGAUAAUUAUCAAUGGGGAAGACUGAAAACUUCUCCUUUGAGAUCAGGAAAAACACAAGGAUACCCACUCUUAUCACUUCUAUUCAACAUAUACAUGGAAAUCCUAGAGAGAGCAAUUAGGAAAAAGAAAGAAAUAAGAGACGUUCAAAUGGAAAAGGAAGAAGUAAAAUGUUCUUUGUCUAUAGAUGGCAUGAUCUUAUUAUAUAGAGAGAAACCUAAAGACUCAAAACAAACAAACCUGUUAGAACUAAGAAAUAAAUUCAGUCAAGUUGCAGGAUACAAAAUCAAUAUACCACAGUCAGUUGUGUUUCUAUACAUUAACAAUGAACUAUCUGAAAAGCUAGGAAAACGAUCCCAUUACAACACCACUGAAAAGAACAGAACAUUUAGAAACUAUGGAGAUGAAAGACUUGUAUACUGAAAAGUAUAAAACAUUAAUCAAAAAAAUUAAAGAAGACACAAACAAGGGAAAGAUAUCCCCUAUUUACAGACUGGGAGAUUUAAUAUUGUUAAGAUGUCCAUUUUACCCAAAGUGAUCUGACAGAUUCAUUGCAAACCCUAUCAAAAUCCUAUGGCAUUUUUACAUAAAUAGAAAAACCAAUGAUAUAAUUCAUAUAGAAGUACAGAUUACAAAUAGUUCCUCAGUCUUGAGGGGGAGAAAACCUGAAGGCGUCACUUUACAUGAUUUCAAAAUAUAUAACAAAGUUACAGUAACCAAAACAGUAUGCUACUGGCAUAGAGACAGACAUAUAUACAAAUGGAACAGGUUAGAAAGCCCACAAAUGAUACAAAUACAGUCAACCUGUCUUUGACAAGGGUGUCAAAAAUACACAGUGGGGGAAGAAUAGUCUGCUCAACAAAAAGGUGUUGGGAAAGCUGGAUUUCCAUAAGCAGAAGAAUGAAAUUGAUUCUUGUCUUACACCAUAGACAAAAUGAACUCAAAAUUAAAGACUGAAAGGUAAGACCCCAAACCGUAAAACUCCAGGAGAACACAUAGAGGGAAAGCCUCGUGACAUUGAUCAUGGCAAUGAUUUCAUGGAUGUAACAUCAAAAGCACAGUCAGCAAAAAUAAAAACAGACAAGUGGAAAUAUAUCCAAAUAAAAAGCUUCUGCCCACCAAAGGAAGCAAUCAACAGAGGAAUUUUUUCAUACAGCACGAGAGAAAAUUCUUAUGGACUAUAUGACUGACAAGAAUUUAAUAGCCAAAAUAUAUAAGAGCACCUGUAACCAAAGGCAAAAAAUCCCAAAUAACCUGAUUAAGAAGCGGCAUUAAGGACUCAAAUAGACAUUUCUCCAAAGAAAGCAUACAAAUAGCCAAUACGUAUAUAUAACAAAAUGCUCAACAACUCUAAGUGCCCAUGCCACUCUUCCGUCCAAAAGUCUUUCUAAGACAAAGAUCCAGUCCAAAAUUUCUCAGGCUACAAACUCCUGUGACCUGAUCACUCCAUCUGCUAUUACUUCCUUCUUGUCCCUCUGUCACAUGCUUCAAAUGUCCUACAACAGUUUCUGCUAGAGGUCCUAAACUUUCACUUCUGGGCUUACACAUACAGGCUGCCCGAAACUGUUCUUUCUCCUCCUUGUGUACUUGGGAAACUGGCUUGCAUCCGUCUGGAUUCAAAUCCAGAUGAUUUCUCUGUGAAGGUUCCCAUUUGAUAGCUGGAAAGAAAUAAGGACCUGUAGAGGUAUGGAUUUAAAUGAGAAAUCAGGGGGUCCUUGAGGGUAGAGACCGUUUCCUUCAUGACUUCUUGAUGUUUUGACAACCAAAUGAAUCCUUUAUUUUAUAUUUGUAAAUUGAGGUUAGGAAACAAAUAACUACAAACUCAAAGGUCACAUUUCAAAAGGGACGAUUUAUUGUGUGGCCAUGAUUUGAAUAUCUAAUCAAAGCUUCUCAAUAGAUCACUAAGGAGAGAUGUAUAGGUACAGAUAUACAGACAUACACAUAGAUGAACACACAAUUAAAGAAUAAAUAGAACCUAUGCUGGCACGUAAACCUUGCAAACACGGGUUCUGAGCCUCUCUUAACUAAUUUGAAAAUCAGGCAUAAAGAAAGGUAUGUUAGUCCAGCGUGUGUCCAUCGUCGGGGUGCCACAGGCAGAUUCUCCCAAGCACCUGCGGGAGCCAGCGGCAGGGGCACAGACAGCCCCUACAACGGGGGGCCUACAACAGGGACGGUCACCUGGGACGCCUUUGUCAGAAGUGCCCACACUUGGUUUAGUGUUCUGCUGCGGUCAUCUUGAAAUUCUUAACAACUUCAUCCUUGGACUUGUGUUUUGUAAAUGAAGUCAGACGGGACAUGGGCGGAUGAGCGUGAGCAGAGGGGAUGCGUACGGGCCGCAGCAGGUGCGUCUUGGGUCAGGACAGCGGGGUACCGUGGGUGGCGGGCUCCAUGCAUGCCCGACGCUGCCCAGCACACGCAUGUGCCUGCAGCCGUCUCGGGCACUGGUCAGUUCUGGGACCCGGGCUCAGGCUGGCAGUUCCAACAGGGGAAGCAGCGGCAGAAGCAGGAACAGCAGUGGCCCCGCCUCCAGAGAGGUGGA